CCUACGGGGGGCUGCAGUGGGGAAUAUUGGACAAUGGGGGGAACCCUGAUCCAGCCAUGCCGCGUGUGUGAAGAAGGCCCUCGGGUUGUAAAGCACUUUCAGUGAGGAAGAACGCCUGGUGGUUAAUACCCAUCAGGAAAGACAUCACUCACAGAAGAAGCACCGGCUAACUCCGUGCCAGCAGCCGCGGUAAUACGGAGGGUGCGAGCGUUAAUCGGAAUUACUGGGCGUAAAGCGCGCGUAGGUGGCUUGAUAAGCCGGUUGUGAAAGCCCCGGGCUCAACCUGGGAACGGCAUCCGGAACUGUCAAGCUAGAGUGCAGGAGAGGAGAGUAGAAUUCCCGGUGUAGCGGUGAAAUGCGUAGAGAUCGGGAGGAAUACCAGUGGCGAAGGCGGCCUUCUGGACUGACACUGCCACUGAGGUGCGAAAGCGUGGGUAGCAAACAGGAUUAGAUACCCUUGUAGUC
rnacentral:rRNA from 1 species